rnacentral:tRNA from 1 species
AAUGGAAUGCCUGAAAUUAUAAAGGGUUAUCAUGAUAGGAUAAAUAAUGCAUAUUAAUAAAAUAAUGCUUUCAUUA